rnacentral:rRNA from 1 species
UGUAUCCUACGGGGGGCAGCAGUAGGGAAUUUUCGUCAAUGGGCGCAAGCCUGAACGAGCAAUGCCGCGUGAACGAGGAAGGUCUUCGGAUCGUAAAGUUCUGUUGUAGGGGAAAAAGAGCGGAGAGAGGAAAUGAACUCCGAUUGAUAUUACCCUUCGAGGAAGUCACGGCUAACUACGUGCCAGCAGCCGCGGUAAUACGUAGGUGGCGAGCGUUAUCCGGAAUGAUUGGGCGUAAAGGGUGCGUAGGCGGCCUGCUAAGUCUGGAGUGAAAGGUACCGGCUCAACCGGUACAGGCUCUGGGG